ACACUCCUGCGGGAGGCAGCAGUGGGGAAUAUUGGACAAUGGGCGCAAGCCUGAUCCAGCCAUGCCGCGUGAGUGAUGAAGGCCCUAGGGUUGUAAAGCUCUUUCACCGGUGAAGAUAAUGACGGUAACCGGAGAAGAAGCCCCGGCUAACUUCGUGCCAGCAGCCGCGGUAAUACGAAGGGGGCUAGCGUUGUUCGGAUUUACUGGGCGUAAAGCGCACGUAGGCGGACUAUUAAGUCAGGGGUGAAAUCCCGGGGCUCAACCCCGGAACUGCCUUUGAUACUGGUAGUCUUGAGUUCGAGAGAGGUGAGUGGAAUUCCGAGUGUAGAGGUGAAAUUCGUAGAUAUUCGGAGGAACACCAGUGGCGAAGGCGGCUCACUGGCUCGAUACUGACGCUGAGGUGCGAAAGCGUGGGGAGGAAACAGGAUUAGAAACCCGUGUAGUCCCAUG
rnacentral:rRNA from 1 species